AAAAGUGUACUAAGUACUGCUAAUACUUAUAACCAAAACUUAUUAUUUGGCAC
rnacentral:tRNA from 1 species